rnacentral:rRNA from 1 species
CCUACGGGAGGCAGCAGUAGGGAAUAUUGCGCAAUGGACGAAAGUCUGACGCAGCCACGCCGCGUGAGUGAGGAAGGCCUUCGGGUUGUAAAGCUCUGUCGCCUGGGAAAAACGGCUAUUGGGGGAAAGUUCCAGUAGCGUGAUGGUACCAGGAGAGGAAGCACCGGCAAACUCUGUGCCAGCAGCCGCGGUAAUACAGAGGGUGCAAGCGUUGUUCGGAAUUACUGGGCGUAAAGCGUGCGUAGUCGGUAUUGAGAGUCGCGGGUGAAAUCCCAGGGCUUAACCCUGGAACUGCCUGCGAGACCUCAGUACUAGAGUGUGAGAGGGGAUAGUGGAAUACCCAGUGUAGCGGUGAAAUGCGUAGAGAUUGGGUGGAACACCGGUGGCGAAGGCGGCUAUCUGGCUCACAACUGACGAUCAGGCACGAAAGCGUGGGGAGCAAACAGGAUUAGAUACCCUGGUAGUCCACGCCGUAAACUAUGCAUACAAGCUGUAGUGGGAUUUUACUCCUGCUGUGGCGAAGCUAACGCAAUUAGUAUGCCGCCUGGGGAGUACGGUCGCAAGACUAAAACUCAAAGGAAUUGACGG